rnacentral:rRNA from 1 species
AGAGUUUGAUCCUGGCUCAGGAUGAACGCUGGCGGAGUGCCUUAGGCAUGCAAGUGGAAUGUCGAUAAUCCCGCAAGGGAUGAUCGGCAUCGCAGACGGGUGAGUACAGCGUAGGAAUUUGCCCAAUGGUGGGGAAUAACUCGCCGAAAGGCGGGCUAAUACCGCAUAAGAUCGCAAGAUGAAAGGCCGUAACUGGCCGCCGAUGGAGAAGCCUACGUCCUAUCAGCUAGUUGGUGGGGUAAAAGCCUACCAAGGCUAUGACGGGUAGCUGGACUGAGAGGUUGGUCAGCCACAAUAGCACUGAGACACGGGCUAUACAUCUACGGAUGGCAGCAACCGGGAAUAUUGCGCAAUGGACGAAAGUCUGACGCAGCGACUCCGCGUGAGGGAUGACGGCCUUCGGGUCUUAAACCUCUUUUGUCCCGCUAUACGGCGGGGAGAAUAAGCACCUGCUAACCACGUGCCAGCAGCCGCGGUAAUACGUGGGGUGCAAGCGUUAUCCGGAUUUACUGGGCGUAAAGAGUUCGUAGGCGUUUUGCCAAGUUUUGUUUGAAAGACCGAGGCUCAACUUCGGAAACGGACGAAAUACUGGCAGAAUCGAGUUAGUUAGGGGGUACUGGAACUAUCAGUGUAGCAGUGAAAUGCGUUGAUAUUGACAGGAACACCAAGGGCGAAGGCAGGUACCUGGGACUUAACUGACGCUGAGGAACGAAAGCUAGGGGAGCGAAACGGAUUAGAGACCCGUGUAGUCCUAGCCGUAAACUAUGUACGCUUGAUCCUUGAUUUCCGCCUUUGGCGGAGCUGGGGGUUGGAGCUAACGCGUGAAGCGUACCGCCUGGGGAGUACGACCGCAAGGUUAAAACUCAAAGGAAUUGACGGGGAAGUGCACAACCAGGGGAGCAUGUGGUUCAAUUCGAUACGAAGCGAAGGACCUUACCCAGACUUGACAUCUCGAAGUUCUACUUUGCAGAAAUGCGAAGGAGUCCGUAAGGAGAUCGAGACAGCUGCUGCAUGGCUGUCGUCAGCUCGUGCCGUGGGGUGUCGACUUAAGUGUCGAAACGAGCGCAACCCUUAUCGCAUGUUCAAUAGUCU